rnacentral:rRNA from 1 species
UAGGGAAUAUUGGUCAAUGGUCGCAAGACUGAACCAGCCAUGCCGCGUGCAGGAAGACGGCCCUCUGGGUUGUAAACUGCUUUUGCCGGGGAAGAAAUCCUUUGAUGCGUCAGAGGUUGACGGUACCCGGUGAAUAAGCCACGGCUAACUACGUGCCAGCAGCCGCGGUAAUACGUAGGUGGCAAGCGUUGUCCGGAUUUAUUGGGUUUAAAGGGUGCGUAGGCGGGCUAUUAAGUCAGAGGUGAAAGACGGCUGCUCAACAGUCGCAGUGCCUUUGAUACUGGUAGUCUUGAGUGCAGACGAGGUCUGUGGAAUGGGUGGUGUAGCGGUGAAAUGCUUAGAUACCAUCCAGAACACCAAUUGCGAAGGCAGCAGACUAGGGUGCCACUGACGCUGAGGC